UACGUAGGGUGCAAGCGUUGUCCGGAUUUAUUGGGCGUAAAGAGCUCGUAGGCGGUUUUGAAAGUCAGGUGUGAAACCUCCAGGCUCAACCUGGAGACGCCACUUGAUACUUCAAUGACUUGAGUUCGGUAGGGGUAAGCGGAAUUCCUGGUGUAGCGGUGAAAUGCACAGAUAUCAGGAGGAACACCGAUGGCGAAGGCAGCUUACUGGGCCGAUACUGACGCUGAGGAGCGAAAGCGUGGGGAGCGAACAGG
rnacentral:rRNA from 1 species